UACGAAGGGGGCUAGCGUUGCUCGGAAUGACUGGGCGUAAAGGGCGCGUAGGCGGUUUGUACAGUCAGGUGUGAAAGCCCCGGGCUUAACCUGGGAAUGGCCGUCGAAACUGGCGAACUGGAGUGUGGCAGAGGGGGGUGGAAUUCCGCGUGUAGCAGUGAAAUGCGUAGAGAUGCGGAGGAACACCGAUGGCGAAGGCAGCCCCCUGGGCUGACACUGACGCUCAGGCACGAAAGCGUGGGGAGCAAACAGG
rnacentral:rRNA from 1 species